rnacentral:misc_RNA from 1 species
GUCAUAGAGAUACAGAGAGACACUCACUCCUCAAAGACAAAAUCUUCAUUUCAGAGCACAGUGUGAGCUCUCAAUCUUCGCGUUUGCUUCAUUGUUCGCCUCAAUUUUCAUGCAACUAUCAUUUUUAGAGAUGUAAUAAGAUUUACUUGCAGGGUUGCUUGUCUGGUUAGACAAUAGUGAAAAUGGAUUUUGAUGAGUACGAUUACCUGGAGCAAACAGUUGAAAACCCUGAAUCUCAUAAAGUUAAGGACACUGCCAAUGGUGGUGGUGAUGCCAAGAAGCCUGGGGAUAAAUAUAGCAGC